CUUCAGGCACUGGAAGGCCGCUGUAAGGUCUAUUCGGGGCCGUUAGAGAAGAGCCUGUUCUUUGGGGACGGGGCAUCCCCAGGCCGUCGUUUCGGGCAGCAGGAGGGCGGUGAGAUCCCCGAGGGGUCCGCAGCACCGCCGUGCCUCAGCCCCGCUGCAGCCCACCCAUCUGUCAGCGCUCGGCUGCGAGACAGAGCCGUGCCGGAGCCGUCCACCCCCGCGGAGCAGCGCAGACAGAACCCUCCCCGCGCUCUCAAAGUGGAGGUUCUGAUUACUGCGGGGCGCAGGAGCUGACAGCCGCCUCGUGCGGGAGCUCCUUACCCGUCUGCCUCCACAAAGAUGUUCGGAGGAAAAGGUCAGCUCCUCUGGGCCCAGCACUCGAGCACGUCUGCAGCAAGAGGCUGUACCAGCACAGAGCAAAUCAACUCACGGCUGUUUGCUUCGAAUCGUGUCUCUGCCUCCAAACCACACUCCUGCAGCUGAAUGCUAACGAGCACCAAGUGGAUGGGAGCUCGGCACACCUGAAGGGGCGAGGAGGGGAGGUUCCUCCUCUUCCCCUGAGCUUUGGCAUCCUCAUGGUGCUGUCUGUGGUGAGGCUGAAGCCCAGCACAGGGUGCUUCCCAGGGGACAGGACGCCCACCACGGUGCUAUCCGAGCAGGCAGGGAUACAUGGGGAAGCCCACAGAGCCUGGUUGUUG
ensembl:lncRNA